rnacentral:misc_RNA from 1 species
GCACGUCUCCACGACCACUCUCACCUCACUUAAAUGACGACACAUAGCAAAACACAAGAUGUGUUCGUGGAAUGGGCGGCACGCAACCAGGCAGACGGACCUUCUCACAAAGCGAUGUGGGCCUGUGACAGGCCGAGUCAAGUCGAGUUUGACUCCUGUUAAAUGAUGGAAUGAACACUUUCUUCUUUUCAACGUGUUCAUGCCACCACGAGCACGCCCACAAACGUACACACGCAUACACAACCACAGCGCACAUACCUCUGCUGUACCACGGCUACGUUCUGGUCCUCUAGGACGAAACCAUCUGCCGCUGAAUCGGGUCACGCGCCUAGCGGGCACUUCAUGACCUUCAUCGUUCUCUCCUCGGUUACGUGCUGUGCGAUGGGCGCGAGAUGGACCUGGUUGCAUCACACGCUCUGAUCCAGGCGGGACGUGCUCAGGGUCCUGCUCGAGGGCAGAAAGCGGUGGUGCCUGGCGUGCAUGUAACAGGGUGUUGUCCAGGCGCAUGCCGGAUGGGCUCAAGGAAACAGUUGGCCAGCCGCAGGCCAGGGCCCACUGAGACCCCCUUGCACACUCUGCCCGUAUGCCGUGCUUCGCCCUUUCAGUGGCUUCAAGCCGUGGCAUCCCAUAAUCUGCUCCGGAGGCCCGUCACAUUCGGGUCUGGAGGACUCGAUGGUGCCAGUCUGGGGUGUUCUCGUCACGCCUCCGGCAUCUGUGCCGCAUCAGCCUACCCGGUCGGAUGUAGGGCGUAUGCCGCAUGCUUCGCGCACAUGCACUUUGGGGUUGAUCGGCGCGGAUCUCCUCGCGCCGUUUCCGUGCAUCGCUCGUACUCCGCUGACCUCUGGAUGCUUUGCUUGGAUGCGAAACACCAUGCUGGCUGUGCAUGGCAGCGCGUGCGCACAAUGAUCACACUAGUGGAUCUUGGGGCCUGCUACGGGGGCGGCGUUGCUGCCUCGGGGGGCGUGGUUGGACGGCCUGCGCGCAUGUGCCGUGACAGGUGGGACGCGCCGCCGUUAGUCUGUGGCAGCGGGAGCACCUCGCCUUCUCCGGAGCCCGCACGCCUUUGACGGGAGUGGGUGUUUCAAUAUUUGUCGAAUAAUCAAAACGAUGCGUAGUGAGCGGGCACAGACGUGAUCGUGGCCGCGAGUCUCUUCAGCACGGUGCCGGCUCAGACCUGUGUGCCGACACCAAGAGUCCGCCAGCGGCGCCGUGGACCAGGCUGCAGGCUCCUGACUUCCCCACAAAGAGUGGGCACUCGACCCUGAGAUGCCACGCACUGAGGCUGCCG